rnacentral:lncRNA from 1 species
GUCAUGGCUUUUUUUUUUUUUUUUUGGAUUGUAUUUGACCUGCCCUCAGGAACUCAGAAGACCCACAGAUAUGCCAAAGGAAGUGUGCUGAUGGGUUCAAGAAUAUUGUUGUGCCCUGGGUUCAGUCCUUAGCUCCAAAACAAAAACAAAAACAAAAAAAUGUUGUAUCUGUAUACCCAAGAAGGAGUUAAAUUCUUUUUAACAUUACACUUAUUUAUGUGUACAGGGGGCGGCAUGUAGGUUUGGAGGUUGAAGAAUAACUUUGGGGAUUAGUCCUCUCUUUCCACUAUGUGGGUCCCAUAGAUGAAACUCGGGUCUUCAGGAUUGGUGGUGAGCACCUUUACUAGGUGACCCGCUGGCCCAAAAUAUUCUAUUUUAAAAUAAGCUGACUUAGACACGUACUUCUCCCUCGUACCGGAUUAUUUACUGAGUGUCAAAACCCCCAGUGAUCCAAAUCUAAAACUUUAAUUAUCAUUGAAAUUCACAAUUUUAAUUAAAGUAAAAAAGAUCCCUGAAGACUUGCUAGUUUGGUAGCUGGCAGAAGUGGGCUGUAAAAGUCUUCAAAGGGGCUGGAGAGUUAGCUCAGUCGGUUAAGGAGCAAAGCUGGACACCUGAGCUCCAUUCCCGGGGCUCACACAGUGGAAACACAGCCCCAGCUCUGGUAAGUUGUCCUCUGACCUCCGUGUGUGCCUUGACAUGUGCCCCUUCCACAUACACAUAAAUAAAUGUAAUCUCAUU